GACGAACGCUGGCGGCGUGCUUAACACAUGCAAGUCGAACGGAAAGGCCCUGCUUGCCGGGUACUCGAGUGGCGAACGGGUGAGUAACACGUGGGUGAUCUGCCCUGCACUUCGGGAUAAGCCUGGGAAACUGGGUCUAAUACCGGAUAGGAGCCAUUUUUAGUGUGAUGGUUGGAAAGUUUUUUCGGUGUAGGAUGAGCUCGCGGCCUAUCAGCUUGUUGGUGGGGUAAUGGCCUACCAAGGCGGCGACGGGUAGCCGGCCUGAGAGGGUGGACGGCCACAUUGGGUCUGAGAUACGGCCCAGACUCCUACGGGAGGCAGCAGUGGGGAAUAUUGCACAAUGGGCGCAAGCCUGAUGCAGCGACGCCGCGUGGGGGAUGACGGCCUUCGGGUUGUAAACUCCUUUCGCUAGGGACGAAGCUUUUUGUGACGGUACCUAGAUAAGAAGCACCGGCUAACUACGUG
rnacentral:rRNA from 1 species